GAAGGUNGAUUGACGGCCUUUGGGUUGUAAACCUCUUUUUUCAAGGAGGAAGUUCUGACGUGUACUUGGAGAAUAAGCAUCGGCUAACUCCGUGCCAGCAGCCGCGGUAAGACGGAGGAUGGAAGUGUUAUCCGGAAUUAUUGGGCGUAAAGCGUCUGUAGGUUGCCUAGCAAGUCUAUUGUUAAAGGUUAAAGCUUAACUGUAAAACUGCAGUAGAAACUGCUAAGCUUGAGUNCNGUCGAAGUAGAGGGAAUUUCCAGUGAAGCGGUGAAAUGCGUACAUAUUGGANGGAACNCCNAUGGNGAAAGNGCUCUACUAGGCUNUUACUGCACUCAUAAACGAAUGCUUGGGUGGCGNANUGGG
rnacentral:rRNA from 1 species